GACGAACGCUGGCGGCGUGCUUAACACAUGCAAGUCGAACGGAAAGGCCCUGCUUGUGUGUGGUGCUCGAGUGGCGAACGGGUGAGUAACACGUGAGUAACCUGCCCUGGACUUUGGGAUAACUUCAGGAAACUGGGGCUAAUACCGGAUAGGAGCGCCUGCUGCAGGGUGGGGGUUGGAAAGUUUAGGCGGUUGGGGAUGGACUCGCGGCUUAUCAGCUUGUUGGUGGGGUAGUGGCUUACCAAGGGUUUGACGGGUAGCCGGCCUGAGAGGGUGACCGGCCACAUUGCGACUGAGAUACGGCCCAGACUCCUACGGGAGGCAGCAGUGGGGAAUAUUGCCCAGUGGGCGGAAGCCUGAUGCAGCAACGCCGCGUGCGGGAUGCCGGCCUUCGGGUUGUAAACCGCUUUCGCCUGUGACGAAGCGUGAGUGACGGUAAUGGGUAAAGAAGCACCGGCUAACUACGUG
rnacentral:rRNA from 1 species